rnacentral:rRNA from 1 species
AAUUGUUCACAAUGGGCGCAAGCCUGAUGACGCAAUGCCGCGUGGAGGAUGAAGGUCUUCGGAUUGUAAACUCCUGUUGCCAGGGACGAAUGGCUCCGACCUAAUACGUCGGAGAAUGACGGUACCUGGUGAGGAAGCCCCGGCUAACUCCGUGCCAGCAGCCGCGGUAAUACGGAGGGUGCGAGCGUUGUCCGGAAUCACUGGGCGUAAAGGGCGCGUAGGCGGCCUGAUAAGUAGGGGGUGAAAUCCUGCGGCUUAACCGCAGGGCUGCCUUCUAAACUGUCAGGCUCGAGCACAGUAGAGGCAGGUGGAAUUCCCGGUGUAGCGGUGGAAUGCGUAGAGAUCGGGAAGAACAUCAGUGGCGAAGGCGGCCUGCUGGGCUGUUGCUGACGCUGAGGCGCGACAGCGUGGGGAGCAAAC